rnacentral:rRNA from 1 species
AUGAGUUGCGAACGGGUGAGUAACGCGUAGUACUGCCUGGUAGCGGGGGAUAACUAUUGGAAACGAUAGCUAAUACCGCAUAAUAGUAGUUGUUGCAUGACAACUGUUUGAAAGGUGCAAUUGCAUCACUACCAGAUGGACCUGCGUUGUAUUAGCUAGUUGGUGGGGUAACGGCUCACCAAGGCGACGAUACAUAGCCGACCUGAGAGGGUGAUCGGCCACACUGGGACUGAGACACGGCCCAGACUCCUACGGGAGGCAGCAGUAGGGAAUCUUCGGCAAUGGACGGAAGUCUGACCGAGCAACGCCGCGUGAGUGAAGAAGGUUUUCGGAUCGUAAAGCUCUGUUGUAAGAGAAGAACGAGUGUGAGAGUGGAAAGUUCACACUGUGACGGUUUCUUACCAGAAAGGGACGGUUAACUACGUGCCAGCAGCCGCGGUAAUACGUAGUCCCGAGCGUUGUCCGGAUUUAUUGGGCGUAAAGCGAGCGCAGGCGGUUAGAUAAGUCUGAAGUUAAAGGCUGUGGCUUAACCAUAGUACGCUUUGGAAACUGUUUAACUUGAGUGCAAGAGGGGAGAGUGGAAUUCCAUUGUGUAGCGGU